CCAGACUCCUACGGGAGGCAGCAGUGAGGAAUAUUGGGCAAUGGAGGCAACUCUGACCCAGCCAUGCCGCGUGAGUGAAGAAGGUUUUCGGAUUGUAAAGCUCUUUCGGAUGUGACGAUGAUGACGGUAGCAUCUAAAGAAGCCCCGGCUAACUUCGUGCCAGCAGCCGCGGUAAUACGGAAGGUCCGGGCGUUAUCCGGAUUUAUUGGGUUUAAAGGGAGCGUAGGCCGCAUGUUAAGCGUGCCGUGAAAUGCCGUGGCUCAACCAUGGCACUGCGGCGCGAACUGGCUUGCUUGAGUGCGCGGAACGUAUGCGGAAUUCGUGGUGUAGCGGUGAAAUGCUUAGAUAUCACGAAGAACUCCGAUUGCGAAGGCAGCAUACGGCAGCGCUACUGACGCUGAAGCUCGAAGGCGCGGGUAUCGAACAGGAUUAGAUACCCCAGUA
rnacentral:rRNA from 1 species